UGGGGAAUAUUGCACAAUGGGCGCAAGCCUGAUGCAGCCAUGCCGCGUGUAUGAGGAAGGCCUUCGGGUUGUAAAGUACUUUCAGUCGGGAGGAAGGUGGUAAGGUUAAUAACCUUAUCAAUUGACGUUACCGACAGAAGAAGCACCGGCUAACUCCGUGCCAGCAGCCGCGGUAAUACGGAGGGUGCAAGCGUUAAUCGGAAUUACUGGGCGUAAAGCGCACGCAGGCGGUUGAUUGAGUCAGAUGUGAAAUCCCCGGGCUUAACCCGGGAAUUGCAUCUGAUACUGGUCAGCUAGAGUCUUGUAGAGGGGGGUAGAAUUCCAUGUGUAGCGGUGAAAUGCGUAGAGAUGUGGAGGAAUACCGGUGGCGAAGGCGGCCCCCUGGACAAAGACUGACGCUCAGGUGCGAAAGCGUGGGGAGCAAACAGG
rnacentral:rRNA from 1 species